UACGGGGGGAGCAAGCGUUGUUCGGAAUUACUGGGCGUAAAGCGCACGUAGGCGGAUUUGUAAGUCAGGGGUGAAAUCCCGGGGCUCAACCUCGGAACUGCCUUUGAUACUGCAAAUCUCGAGUCCGGAAGAGGUGAGUGGAAUUCCUAGUGUAGAGGUGAAAUUCGUAGAUAUUAGGAAGAACACCAGUGGCGAAGGCGGCUCACUGGUCCGGUACUGACGCUGAGGUGCGAAAGCGUGGGGAGCGAACAGG
rnacentral:rRNA from 1 species